UGGUCUUCUAUAUUUUCAUGCACACAUUCCCUUUCCAUGUCUAAUUGGCUGAUAUGACUUCAGCUAUUUCCUCUCUGCAUACAAUUUCCUAAGUGAGAUAUUUAGCUUUGGUUUAUUUUUAUGAACAGGACUACAGUCUUUGGGAACGACUAUAUUUUUAACUUUAAAUCAUAUGCUCAAAACCGCUUUCAGUUUAUUAUUUCUUGGAUUCUAAUAAUGCACUCUCUCUCGUACCUGGAAUAAGAAUUUCUAAUCGCUCACAUUGGCUGUUUCAGCUCUUCAGAUUUACACAGUUUGUUUUCUCAUUCAUUUAUUUGAAUUUGUACUAUGUUUUUCAAUUAUUUUAUCUUUCUCUUAUCAAUCAAAUGAUUCCAGCUGUGGUCUCACUGUUAUUUCCCAUGCUACAAAGAAGAAAGAGGGAUUUUAGUCAUCUAAGACCGUGAGCUUCUGGAUGGCGAAGACUCUGUCUUUCAACCCUAAAUACCCGGUUAUAGCCUCAUCUAUGGCAAGUGCUCUGUAAAUAUCAGAGGGAAGGAAAAUGGAGAUCAUGCCUU
ensembl:lncRNA